rnacentral:pre_miRNA from 1 species
GUGUGUGGAUAGUGUUCAGCGCCAAGGACAGGCAUUUUCACCUGUGUGAGGAUAGUGUUCAGCACUAAGGACAGGUAUGUUUACCU